rnacentral:rRNA from 1 species
GUCCAGGCCCAUAGCAGCCUGAAAGUGCUGGAUCUGGUGGGAACUAGGAAGCUAAGCAGGGUUGGGCCCAGUUACUACUUGGAUGGGAGACCACCUGGGAAUAUUGUAUGGCCCUCACC